UACGUAGGGGGCAAGCGUUGUCCGGAUUUAUUGGGCGUAAAGAGCGUGUAGGCGGCCAGAUAGGUCCGUUGUGAAAACUCGAGGCUCAACCUCGAGACGCCGAUGGAAACCAUCUGGCUAGAGUCCGGAAGAGGAGAGUGGAAUUCCCGGUGUAGCGGUGAAAUGCGCAGAUAUCGGGAGGAACACCUGUGGCGAAGGCGGCCCCCUGGUUGGAUACUGACGCUGAUACGCGAAAGCGUGGGGAGCAAACAGGG
rnacentral:rRNA from 1 species